rnacentral:sRNA from 1 species
AUCAACUUUCGAUGGUAGGAUAGAGGCCUACCAUGGUGGUAACGGGUAACGGGGUGUUAGGGCACGACACCGGAGAGGGAGCCUGAGAAACGGCUACCACAUCCAAGGAUGGCAGCAGGCGCGCAAAUUAUCCAAUCCCGACACGGGGAGGUAGUGACAAUAAAUAACAAUACGGGGUCCUUUCGGGUUUCGUAAUUGGAAUGAGUACAAUUUAAAUCUCUUAACGAGGAACAAUUGGAGGGCAAGUCUGGUGCCAGCAGCCGCGGUAAUUCCAGCUCCAAUAGCGUAUAUUAAAGUUGUUGCAGUUAAAAAGCUCGUAGUUGAAUUUCGGGGUUAGUACGCUGAUCGUGCCUUCGGUAUGUACUGGUGUUUCUGAUUCCUACCUUCUGAAGAACCGUCAUGUCAUUAAUUUGGUGUGGCGGGGAAUCAGGACUGUUACUUUGAAAAAAUUAGAGUGUUUAAAGCAGGCUCGCGCUUGAAUACAUUAGCAUGGAAUAAUGAAAUAGGACGUUCGAUCCUAUUUUGUUGGUUUCUAGGAUUGACGUAAUGAUUAAUAGGGAUAGUUGGGGGCAUUAGUAUUCAAUUGUCAGAGGUGAAAUUCUUGGAUUUAUUGAAGACUAACUACUGCGAAAGCAUUUGCCAAGGAUGUUUUCAUUAAUCAAGAACGAAAGUUAGGGGAUCGAAGACGAUCAGAUACCGUCGUAGUCUUAACCAUAAACUAUGCCGACUAGGGAG